rnacentral:tRNA from 1 species
GGCGCGGUGGCGGAGUGGUCACGCGAAAGUCUGCAAAACUUUUUACACCGGUUCGAACCCGGUCCGUGCCUCCA